CCUACGGGUGGCUGCAGUGAGGAAUAUUGGUCAAUGGACGAGAGUCUGAACCAGCCAAGUAGCGUGAAGGAUGACUGCCCUAUGGGUUGUAAACUUCUUUUAUAAAGGAAUAAAACGAGGCACGUGUGCCUUUUUGCAUGUACUUUAUGAAUAAGGAUCGGCUAACUCCGUGCCAGCAGCCGCGGUAAUCCGGAGGAUCCGAGCGUUAUCCGGAUUUAUUGGGUGUAAAGGGAGAGUAGAUGGGUUGGCAAGUCAGUUGUGAAAGUUUGCGGCUCAACCGUAAAAUUGCUAUGGAUACUGGCAGGCUGGAGUACAGUUGAGGUAAGCGGAAGUCGUGGUGUAGCGGUGAAAUGCGUAGAUAUCACGAAGAACCCCGAUUGCGAAGGCAGCUUACUAAACUGUGACUGACAUUGAUGCUCGAAAGUGUGGGUAUCAAACAGGAUUAGAUACCCGAGUAGUC
rnacentral:rRNA from 1 species